rnacentral:rRNA from 2 species
GUGAGUGGCGAACUGGUGAGUAACACGUGGGAAACCUGCCCAGAAGCGGGGGAUAACACCUGGAAACAGAUGCUAAUACCGCAUAACAACUUGGACCGCAUGGUCCGAGNUUGAAAGAUGGCUUCGGCUAUCACUUCUGGAUGGUCCCGCGGCGUAUUAGCUAGAUGGUGAGGUAACGGCUCACCAUGGCAAUGAUACGUAGCCGACCUGAGAGGGUAAUCGGCCACAUUGGGACUGAGACACGGCCCAAACUCCUACGGGAGGCAGCAGUAGGGAAUCUUCCACAAUGGACGAAAGUCUGAUGGAGCAACGCCGCGUGAGUGAAGAAGGGUUUCGGCUCGUAAAACUCUGUUGUUAAAGAAGAACAUAUCUGAGAGUAACUGUUCAGGUAUUGACGGUAUUUAACCAGAAAGCCACGGCUAACUACGUGCCAGCAGCCGCGGUAAUACGUAGGUGGCAAGCGUUGUCCGGAUUUAUUGGGCGUAAAGCGAGCGCAGGCGGUUUUUUAAGUCUGAUGUGAAAGCCUUCGGCUCAACCGAAGAAGUGCAUCGGAAACUGGGAAACUUGAGUGCAGAAGAGGACAGUGGAACUCCAUGUGUAGCGGUGAAAUGCGUAGAUAUAUGGAAGAACACCAGUGGCGAAGGCGGCUGUCUGGUCUGUAACUGACGCUGAGGCUCGAAAGUAUGGGUAGCAAACAGGAUUAGAUAC